ACUCCUACGGGAGGCAGCAGUGGGGAAUAUUGCACAAUGGGCGCAAGCCUGAUGCAGCCAUGCCGCGUGUGUGAAGAAGGCCUUCGGGUUGUAAAGCACUUUCAGUCGUGAGGAAGGUAGUGUAGUUAAUAGCUGCAUUAUUUGACGUUAGCGACAGAAGAAGCACCGGCUAACUCCGUGCCAGCAGCCGCGGUAAUACGGAGGGUGCGAGCGUUAAUCGGAAUUACUGGGCGUAAAGCGCAUGCAGGUGGUUUGUUAAGUCAGAUGUGAAAGCCCGGGGCUCAACCUCGGAAUAGCAUUUGAAACUGGCAGACUAGAGUACUGUAGAGGGGGGUAGAAUUUCAGGUGUAGCGGUGAAAUGCGUAGAGAUCUGAAGGAAUACCGGUGGCGAAGGCGGCCCCCUGGACAGAUACUGACACUCAGAUGCGAAAGCGUGGGGAGCAAACAGGAUUAGAUACCCUGGUA
rnacentral:rRNA from 1 species